AUCUCUUUCCGCAGCCAAAAGACCAAAUCAAUUCAUAUCACAGAGCCAGGGAUCUAUUAGAGAGAUAUCUCUCUUCUACCAGCUCGUGGCUGACAUUGUAUAAUGAUAAUGAUGGGAUGAGGAAAGAAGAAAUAUCUGCUUUAUCUCUGGGCCCAAUGAGUUUGCUGAAUUCUACAGCAGAUUAUGAGUUAUCAAAGACUAUCACAGAAAGUAUCCAAAUGAGGAGGGAAGAAAGUGCUGAAAUUCGUAGA